rnacentral:rRNA from 1 species
AUUGAACGCUGGCGGCAGGCCUAACACAUGCCAGUCGAACGGUAACAGGAAACAGCUUGCUGUUUCGCUGACGAGUGGCGGACGGGUGAGUAAUGUCUGGGAAACUGCCUGAUGGAGGGGGAUAACUACUGGAGACGGUAGCUAAUACCGCAUAACGUCGCAAGACCAAAGAGGGGGACCUUCGGGCCUCUUGCCAUCGGAUGUGCCCAGAUGGGAUUAGCUAGUAGGUGGGGUAACGGCUCACCUAGGCGACGAUCCCUAGCUGGUCUGAGAGGAUGACCAGCCACACUGGAACUGAGACACGGUCCAGACUCCUACGGGAGGCAGCAGUGGGGAAUAUUGCACAAUGGGCGCAAGCCUGAUGCAGCCAUGCCGCGUGUAUGAAGAAGGCCUUCGGGUUGUAAAGUACUUUCAGCGGGGAGGAAGGGAGUAAAGUUAAUACCUUUACUCAUUGACGUUACCCGCAGAAGAAGCACCGGCUAACUCCGUG